rnacentral:rRNA from 1 species
GACGUAGGUGGCGAACGUUAUCCGGAUUUAUUGGGCGUAAAGGAUGCGUAGACGGUAAAACAAGUUACUACUUGACGUCGAGCUCAACUUGACUGAAAUUAGUAAUACUAUUUUGCUAGAGAUUGGGAGAAGUUGAUGGAAAUCUAUGUGGAGGGGUGAAAUUCGUAGAUAUUGGGAAGAACACCGGUGGCGAAGGCGGCGACCUGGUCCUUUACUGACGCUGAGGCGCGAAAGCGUGGGGAGCAAACAGG